UACUGGUGCGCGAGAUGAGUAUUCUAAGGCGCUUGAGAGAACUCAGGAGAAGGAACUCGGCAAAUUGACACCGUAACUUCGGAAGAAGGUGUGCCUUUAGUAGGUGAACCUGUACAAGGGGAGCCCAAUGAGGUUGCAAAAAAUCGGUGGCUGCGACUGUUUAAUAAAAACACAGCACUCUGCAAACACGAAAGUGGACGUAUAGGGUGUGACGCCUGCCCGGUGCUGGAAGAUUAAAUGAUGGGGUGCAAGCUCUUGAUUGAAGUCCCAGUAAACGGCGGCCGUAACUAUAACGGUCCUAAGGUAGCGAAAUUCCUUGUCGGGUAAGUUCCGACCUGCACGAAUGGCGUAACGAUGGCCACACUGUCUCCUCCUGAGACUCAGCGAAGUUGAAAUGUUUGUGAUGAUGCAAUCUCCCCGCGGAAAGACGGAAAGACCCCAUGAACCUUUACUGUAGCUUUGUAUUGGACUUUGAACAGAUCUGUGUAGGAUAGGUGGGAGGCUUUGAAGUGUGGUCGCUAGAUCGCAUGGAGCCAACGUUGAAAUACCACCCUGGUGUGUUUGAGGUUCUAACCUGGGCCCGUAAUCCGGGUCGGGGACAGUGCAUGGUAGGCAGUUUGACUGGGGCGGUCUCCUCCCAAAGCGUAACGGAGGAGUUCGAAGGUACGCUAGGUACGGUCGGACAUCGUGCUAAUAGUGCAAUGGCAUAUGCGUGCUUAACUGCGAGACUGACAAGUCGAGCAGAUGCGAAAGCAGGACAUAGUGAUCCGGUGGUUCUGUAUGGAAGGGCCAUCGCUCAACGGAUAAAAGGUACUCUGGGGAUAACAGGCUGAUACCGCCCAAGAGUUCAUAUCGACGGCGGUGUUUGGCACCUCGAUGUCGGCUCAUCUCAUCCUGGGGCUGUAGCCGGUCCCAAGGGUAUGGCUGUUCGCCAUUUAAAGAGGUACGUGAGCUGGGUUUAAAACGUCGUGAGACAGUUUGGUCCCUAUCUUCCGUGGGCGCUGCAGAUUUGAGGAAGCCUGCUCCUAGUACGAGAGGACCGGAGUGGACACACCUCUGGUGUAUCGGUUGUCACGCCAGUGGCAUUGCCGAGUAGCUAUGUGUGGAAGAGAUAACCGCUGAAAGCAUCUAAGCGGGAAACUCGUUUCAAGAUGAGAUCUGCCGGGGCCUUGAGCCCCCUAAAGAGUCGUUCAAGACCAGGACGUUGAUAGGUCGGGUGUGGAAGCGCAGUAAUGCGUUAAGCUAACCGAUACUAAUUGCUCGUGCGGCUUGACC
rnacentral:rRNA from 1 species